GCCUAAGUUCAUCACUGUUUGUUCUUUUCUUAAACAUACAUCACUUUGUGAAAACUCAAGUUUUUAUAUGAAAGCCAUAAAAAAUGUAUUUUGUGUUGAAAAGAGUUGGACUUUACAUAAUUUGAUACAUAAUUUGUUCACAGACAUAGGAAGUUGUAAUAGUAGGAAGAUGGUAAUGUUACAAAGCAUAUCUCUAAUAGAACAGUAUAAAACAUUUAAACAUGAAUUUUCAUAUACUAAAAAUAAAAGCUCAGAUAUAUUAUCUUCAAUGAUUUAAAAUUAUUUUUACUUUCAUUUGAAUUCCAUAUCAACCUUGCUUUCAUGUUUAGAUAAUAAAGCUUUCCAAAGUCCCAGUUUUUUAAAAAACGAACACUUAACAAGGCUUAGUUUUUACAACAUAGAGGAGGGAAAAGAUGGCAAAAACAUGGCCUAUAAUUUCUUAGCCUAGAUUAACCCAGUACAUUUUUUAAAAAAGCAAUUCAUGUACAUGGUCAGAAAAUUCAAAAUGCUUAUAAAUGUACAAAUUGAAAAGUAAGAGCCUUCAUUCUUUCCUCUCUCCACUCCCAUACACUCUCCCCACCAAAGGCAAUCACUUUUUCCCCACGGCUUUUUUCCCUACAUAGGCUGAAAAUGUCUGCCUAUCUCUCAGGUUCUGCCAUCUACAAGGGCUCAUGGCAAAUUGGAAGGGCGUUCCCUGCCAAUGGUGAGGCACCCUGAAGCCUACAGAGAUGGCUUGCCAGCGCCUCUGCACUAGUGCAAGCACUACCUUCCUGGGGUCUGUCACGUGGAUUAUCCCUCUGGGGACUGUCGAGUCUUGGAAGCAGACAGGACAAGUGUUAGAAACAGUGCUUUCUCUGAGCUCCUGUGUCAAUGCUUUUGUGAGAUAAAUUCUUAGGAAAAUUUCUCAGCUAAAGGGAAUAUUUAAGUGACUUUUGCCAAAUCAACUUCUAAUAAUGUACCAAUCUGCAUCCCAAUUAAUAAUAUAUGAAUGCCUGUUUCUUAUCAUCCUUACAAAUACAAUUUUCAACCAUUUAGAGUGUAUGACAAUUUCUCAUUUAUUUUGCAUUUUAUUUAAUUAGGAAUGAACAUCUCAUGUAUAUGAGCCAUUAAAAUGUUUUAGUGGAUUGUUCAUGUCCUUUGUUUCUUUUAUCAAUUUUUUAUUUUUAAGAGUUUUUUGUACUUUAGGUAAAACAGUUUUAUUCAUUCAGGCACUGUUCUAGACAGUGCAGUCAAACAGGAAACAAAGAAAAUCCCCACCCUUAAGGAGUUUAAAUUCUAGUAGAGAGAUAAAGAAAAAAAAGUGUAUGUAUACACGCACACACACAACACAGACACACGCACGAGGCGGUGACAGGUGCAAUAGAAAAAUAAAGGAGGGUAAAAAGGGAUAGAAAGUGAUAGCAGUGUGUGUGGGAUGGGAUGCUAUUCUGUGCAGUGUACAGAAUGGUCAGGGACAGCCUCUCUGAUAGAGUGGAGAUUGGAGAAGACACCUACCUGAAAGGAAGAAAGGGAGUAAUUUACAUGAAGAUCAAGGAAAACAAGGCCAAAAAACAACUGGCCUUAAAAGCCAAAAGGCUUUAAAGAGAGGGAGAGGGAAAUUAGUUGGCACAUUUGAGAAGCAACAAGGAGGCCGCCUACAGCAGUGUGGGUGAGGAAGAGGGGAGUCCGGGAGGAGGGUUCUGAUUUGGCUGGAGGUGGGUAGGAACAACAGAGUCAUGAGACCAGAUGAAAGUGGAUGCAAGCCUGGACAACACAGCAAGACUUUGUCUCUACUAAAGAUUAAAAAAAUUAGCCAGGUGUGGUGGCGUGCACCGAGACUCCCAGCUACUUGGGAGGCCUGAAACCAGGAGUUGAUCUUCUUACCACUGCAUUGCAGCCUGGGCGACAAAGCAAGAUCCCUGAGUCGAGGCAAAAAAAGAUGUAAAUAUUUGUUGCCAGUAAAUGUUCCUAGUUUGAAUUUAUGGUUUUAAUUUUUUUGGAGGGGAGGAUAGGUAUCCAUCCUAUAUUUAAUUUUUUAUCUACUAUAGUAAUAGCAAUCUUCUGGUUUAUAUCUUGCUUUUAUGUCACACAGGCAAAAGAUUGCAAAACCAUCUAUUACAUUGUAUUUUGAUUAAAAUUUCUGAUUUCUCCAAAAUUAUUUUGGGGAUAAGCAGUGAAACAGGCAAGAUCAAUGCAUAAGACUGCACAAUGUAUUUGCUGCACAAGGGUACCAGGCUGAGGGGGUAAGUGGGGACUGAAAUUCAGUCAAGGUAUGGUGCAUUGGGAGGUACUGAAUCCACUAAAGGAAGGGGCCUUUUCUAAUUUGCACGAAGGUGCUAUAUGAACUAGUAGUGUCAAUGGAGAUAGAGUUCAAGCUUUAAUCCAUUGUGGGUUGUUUUUUCUUUUUUUUUUUUUUUUUGAGACAGAGUUUCACUCUUGUUGCCCAGGUUGGAGUACAAUGGCAUGAUCUUGGCUAACUGCAACCUCCACCUCCUGGGUUCAAGCGAUUCUCCUGCCUCAGCCUCCCAAGUAGCUGGGAUUAUAGGCAUGCACCACCACGCAUGGCUAAUUUUGUAUUUUUAGAAGAGACGGGGUUUCACUAUGUUGGCCAGGCUGGUCACGAACUCCUGACUCAGGUAAUCCACCCGCCUCAGCCUCCCAAAGUGUUGGGAUUACAGGUGCGAGCCACCACACCCAGCCUAAUCCAUUGUUUUAACACCAGUUAUUAAAUAAUCUUUUCACAUACUGACUUAAAAUGCCAUCUUUGUCCUAUUAAAUAUUCAUAGCUUCUUAUGUCUCUGGUAGAACCAAGGACCCCGUUAAGGUAGAAGUUUGCCAUAUUACAAAAAAAAUUUUUUUAAAUGCAUUCUCCUCACUAGGGAAACCUUUAUUUUAGGAGCCAAAUUAGAAGCUAAUUUUGGCACAUUAGAAAGAACUGGUGCAGUUGGAAGAAUUCCUCAUUUUCAGAUGCAAUUUCUUUGCUGUCUUUGCUUAAAGGCUUCAGCUUAAAGACACCAAUGAGUUAUUUCAAAGAACCUUGUGCUCACCUUCUGAAAGGCUUUCUUAUCUACCUUGAGAUAAUAGCUCAACCAACAGUCUGAAGUCUUACUGCUCCAGGAAAAUCUUUAUUUCCAGGUUUAGGUUUGGCAUCAGUUAGAGCACUCUGACUUGGUGGAAGGUUUCUUAUACUACUGCCAUAGGAGGACGAAGGCUCUAACAGUGGAGUAGUAUCGGUGGAUGUACACUUUGUGAAUGGUGAGAUGCUAUAUGUGAUGUGGUCUCUUUUCAAACAAAAGUAAAACUCCUGCCUUUUCAGCUGUCCCCCACUACCCAACCAGGUCCAUCACUAUGCUAUUACUGCCUUAGUGAGACAAGAAAUAAGAACCAUUUGAAACUUCUGCCAAAAAGGAAAGGCUUCCUUCUCCCAAGACAAAUAAGCAUAAAAUAUAAGGGAAAUGUAAAGGAUCUCACUUUGUGGUUUUAUGCUUAGGCAAACUGAAAACCUAAGACAAUUGUAAGUCCUAAAUGGUCAGGUAAACUUUUCUCCUCUCUACAAAGGGCUGGGGUUGGAAGAGAUUGGAAUGGAAGGGAGGGGUGGCAAAACAGAUGCAAGUUCUCUAACAAAGUAGUUUCCUCAGAUUCCCCUCCCUUUCCUCACAGCCUACUCCAGAAACAAAGCUUUACUUCACAGCAGCCUGCUGUCAAGGUUGCUAUUCACUACAUAGUAGCUAAGCCUAUAUUAAGAAUAAAUCUAAAUUUUCUGUCCAGUCUCAGAGUAAUAACUUCAUGUGUCAACACAGUGAACUGAGAAAUGAGGAGAGCAGAGAGGAGAGGGGCUUGAUUAUGUAAAAGAUACAGAUAUAUCAUUUUACAUCAUCAGUAUAAGAAGCAAAUGUGAGAAUGUUUGGAGAGCUGUAUUUUGGUUAAGAGCAAAUAUUUCUAAGUUGAUUAUCUUUCAGAUCCAAGUCAUGUUGCAGUGCUUCAACUAUAUAUGCUUAAAUAUUUUUAGUUGAGACAUACGUAGGAUUUUUUGCUUUCCAGCAAUCUUAGAGCAGUAACAGUGACAACUAGAGUAAAAAAAAAAUAAGGCACUAGCAAGGAGGAACAUUAGAUAAUUUUGGUAUUUAGAUAUGAAAUAGAUAAUUAGAUAAUUUUCUUUCCUUUUUUUGUUAGAGG
rnacentral:lncRNA from 10 species